GCUCGGGCGGCAGGAACGCCAACUUAGCCGCGAUGCGACUCGGACACGGCGGGCAGCAGAAGAGCCAACACAACUCGCCGAGGGAGAAGCUGUUCAUCCUCGGGCCUUGCUCGGGCAUGGAGGGCGGCCGAUACCGGGUUGCCGACUCACCAAUAAAAAAAGAAGAAGAAGAAGAGAUGCAGGAUGGUUCUUCUUGAUCACAUAAAUCCCCAAACGUGGGCAGGAAAACAAACAGCUAAAAUAAUAGAAAAGAAGACAAAUUACAAAUGUGUCAAAACUUCAAUUUUCUCGUCGAACGUUCAGAGAAAAAAGGAAUGGAUUUAUUGUUUGGUAACGCCAUCACGCCGCAUUCAAAGUAAAGAAACAUUUUCAGGGGCCAGCUGUCCUCUCUUUGAAUGGUUUGAAGGCGGAGGAGGUUGUCAAAAUAUCUUCAUCGACGUGUCCAUCACAGCUUCGCCUCAGGUCCUCAGAGUAAUUGAUGUCUUCUUAAGAGUUUUAGCUGUAAACAUUGCGGAGGAACCUCAAGGAAGUUUCGCCCAGGGGAGCUUAAUGAUCACCAACACCACAGUUUCACUUUGGAAGGUAAAGAAUGUCAACCUACAUUCAGGAGGAACCAGAAACCAUCUCGCAUUACACGCGUGGAGGCUACACGUAACUUAAUUGAGGUCCUGGGGAGAUUCUGGGAAUCUUAUCGGAACCGAGAUUGAGCUUGUUCCUCUCUAAUGAAGUUGGGAGUUUCUGCCUUCCCAGAGCGCUGGAGAACUAACGACAGGAUUGAGUGCGUUUGAUUUUUCAUGAGCCUGCUUGAAUGUAAAGCAUCUCUCCGUCGCUUUAGAAUUUGCCCGAAAGAAGAAGGCAGUGAAAUUUAAUACUGAGCAUGCAGUUGAACGCUUCCUACGUAGGAACAGAGACACUAAAAAACUGAAUGUUUCUGUACUUAAAGGAAGAUAUGCUCAGAUAAAGGGUAAGUGCUGCGCAGCGGGAUGGGUUGUUGUUUUAGGGGCCUCGGAAAUUUCGGAGAAAUCGGGAAGAAAAGAAACAUCUUCGAACAUAUGUCAUGCAUCAGGACAGGCACAGCUGUUUGAAAAGAAUGAAGUUUAAAAAUUGGGAGAAAAGUAUUUGGAAUUGCGACAUAACGCACUGAACUUUAUCUAUUUUUAUACAAUUUUGGCAAGAACAUGUGGAACUAUUUAUGAUGACUCUUACCUGAUUCUUAGCGGUUUAAGUUCAGUACUAUAUGCAUCACGGAAGGGUUUCAUAGACAGGGCUUAGUCUAAACCAAAAUUAGGCUAUAGUUUAAUUAGGACAUUAAAUAGAUUUUUUAUAAACAUGUCUUAGGAAAAAAAAAACAUUAGUGCUUUGCGUCUUAAGACAAAACUAAGGCAUUGACAUGUUUUAGGAUCAGUCGGUGUAAGUUUCUUUCAGUUGAAACAGCUCAGAUUUACAUUUUAGUUUGGGACUAGGCUUAAGCCUCGUCUGUGAAACCUGGGGUAAAUUUAUUAGUUUAUUUUAGAAAAUGUCCUCUGAAUGGAACUUUUAUAUGCAAUUCAAACACAUAAACCUCGAAUUUAAGCAUUUAUUGAGUGGAAAAAUAUAUUAAACAAAGCUGAAACUAUAACACCGCUAAAUCAUAAUCAGAUUAGCCAGAAUGUUACAUUAGUGAACACACAAAGACUGAUAUAAACAUUAAAGCGAAAAUGACCUUUCAUGCAGUUUUAAAACAAGUCCCAAGCUGUUUUAUGACGUCAAUAUGAAACAUUAACAUAUUGCCUGCCACGUGCUGGUCUGAAUGAAAAUCCUUAGCUGAUUCAUUCUUAGCUAGCAGGUGCCGCUUUUGGAGCUAACAAACACUGCUUUAAUCGAAAUUCACCAACCACCGAGGGGUUUGGAAAAAUGAAUUAUUGAACCAAUCGUUUGGGAGUCAUUGAACAAGCAAGGUAAAAAAAUAAGCGCACAUAGUAAACAAAUGAAAGUGUUUUUUGACCUUGCAUGCAUGUCAACCUGUUGUUCAGACUCCCAAAGCCAAACUAUAAAUCUUUCAUAACCCAUAAAAGCUUAAAAAUAGGUCGAUCUUUCCGUGUCUCCGGUCUUAGCCGUCACAGCUCAGGAUAGUCACUAACGGAGGCUUUGGGAAUGCGUGCGCUCUUGUGGUGCCAUUAGUCAGAUGCUGUCCUGACGUCAGCUUUCCAGUGAGUUCAGACAGCAGGAGCAUCCCGCAUCCAGCAGAGAAACUCCCACUGAGGUGAAUGGGAAAUCUAACAGUCUGAACAUGACAGACACUCAAAGUUAUCCGUCUAAAGCCGAAGGCCAGAAUGAUGCUUACCUGGUAAUCUGAAAGAGCGAUCCAUACCAUCUUCUUUUCCACAUCAUAUGAAGCAAUUCAACUGGAAAACACACCUGAAAACAGCAGUGCAGAAAGUCACAUUUUUAUUUGUCACUCAAAACCUGUUAAUGGUUUUAUUGCAAAACCCAACAGGGCCUGACCUGAUCCUGUCAGAUAUGACAGUGUAUAGUACACGCAACAUUAAAUAAAUGCACUGGUAGCAUUCCAAAACAAAAACAGGGUUUGAUUGCAUAGCUGCAGGCUUGUGAGAUGGGGAAUGAAACUUUUACUCUCUCAAAAGUGUUUACAAUUAUUCAAAACUAUAACACAGGAUGACAAGCAAUAUUUUGAACUGCUUUUUUUAGUUGAAUGAUUCUUCAUUAUUCCAAACAAAUGCAUGUUUGGAAAAACUUUAGAUGAUUUCAGUCUAAGAAGAUCUUAAACUGUGUCAAAUAAAUAGAGGUAAAGGAAUAGUUUACCAAAACCUUUUUUUAUUUCCUCACCCUCAGUCCUCAAGAUGUAGAUGGGUUUGUUUCUUCCUCUGAAUACAUUUGGAGAAAUGUAGCGUUACCUCACUUGCUCGCAAAUGGCUGCUCUGCAGUGAAUGGGUGCCGUCAGAAUGAGAGUCCAACAGCUGAUUAAAACAAACUUGUUAACUCUUAACUAACAACAUGUAUGUUAGACACUAUUCCAUCUAAAAAGCUGCUUGCAGAAGUCAUAGAUCCUUCCAGCCAGGAUUUAGACGUAGUACUGAGACUGCUUUCAUUAGAGUUACAAAUGACCUGGUUCUAUCAUCUAUCAUCUAUCAUUUCUUUAUCAUUACUAUCGAUCACAACAUUCUCUUGAGGAGACUAGAAAACUAUGUUGGCAUUAGUGGAAGUGCCUUAGCAUGGUUCAAAUCGUACUGGUCUGACCGCUAUCAUUUCGUAGCAGUAAAUGAGGAGGUAUCAUAUCGAUCUCAAGUGAAAUAUGGAGUACCUCAAGGCUCAGUACUAAGGCCGUUACUUUUCACACUUUACACACGUUACCUCCAGGAGGUAUUAUCAUGAGGCAUGAUGCUAGUUUUCACUGUUAUGCUCAUGAUACCCAGCUAUAUUUAUUCGUGACCUGGUGAUACACACCAAAUUAAGACAUAACUAACAAUGCAUAGUCGUUAUAAAAAACUGGAUGACCAAUUUUUAAUGCUAAAGACAGAGGUGCUAAUUAUCGGGCCUAAAAAUUGAAUAACUUAAAACACCGUCUAACACUAGUUGGCUGCUCUGUUAAUUCUUCUUCAUUAGUUAGGAACCGAAGUGUGCUGUUUGAUAUCUGAAAAACAUAUCUAAAUUGCGACCUAUGCUCUCAAUGUCAAAUGCAGAAAUGUUAAUUCGUGCAUUUAUGACCUCGAGAUUAGACUAUUGUAAUGCGUUGUCAGGUGGUUGUUCUGCACGCUUGAUAAACAAACAUCAGCUGGUCCAAAACGCAGCAGUAAAGAGUCCUUACUAGAACCAAGAAGUAUGACCUGGUUCUGACAACACUGCACUGGCUCCCUAUGAAACAUCGGAUAGAUUUUAAAAUCUUGUUCAUUUAAAUCCCUGAAUGGUUUAUCUUCUCAAUACUUGAGCAAGCUCUUAUUACAUUAUAAUCCUCCAA